UUUUCUCUCUAUCUCUCUUGGUCUCUCUCUCUCUUUUUCUCUCUUUUUCUUCUUUUAGCUUUAUUUUCUUUUGUUAAUUUUAGUUUUAUUUUGGGAAUCAAGUGGAUAUAGCAAGGAGAUCAUUAAGGAAAGCUUGAAGAAUACAUUGAAGGAAUUACAAUUCGUAUUUAAAAGGGUUUUAUCUCAACUUUUGUAUUCCUUUCAUUUAGUUCUUCAUGUUUGUAAUGAUAUGUUUAUGAGAAUCUCUUUGUUAUUUUGUUAGAAUGAUGAACUAAACAAGUUUAUGUUGGAAUUUAUGUAUUAGCUUAACCUAUUUUCAUUAAUAUCGUAUUAUAUGUUGUUAGAUAUGCAUUUGUUAUCAAAAUAUUGGUGUAUUAAUUAUCAUGUUUAAGAUUACUACAUUUAUUUGACGUCAAUAGAUGUUGUGGUUAGGUAGUUGCGUAAUUAUUGAAAAAUAGUUGACAUAAUGGACCGAAAUAAUUAAUACCAUAGGUUUGUAUGGUUUCGACUAUAUGCGUUUAGGUAUCCAGACAUAUAUACCUACCCUAUGUGACCCAUUGAGUUAUUUUCACAAAAAUUGAAUGCAGUUGUUUGGUUUAGAACGACAUAGAAAUAUGUUAAUACCAAGCAAUUAGGGUUGGUAUCGCUCGACAGAGGUUAUUGACUAAUUUUGGAAAAUCGGGUCUAACCACAUAUUUUGGUAAUUUGCAUCGACGCAUAAUUGGCUUGAAAAGGGUUAAGCGAAAUCAUAAAUUCCAACAUCUUUUAAAAUCAAACUUUUCCACUUUUUAAGUAUUUUAAAUCAAAAUCGAGUUUUCGCCUUUUUAUAGUUUUUAAAAUCGAACUUUUAAAUGUGUGUAUCUUUUUCGUUAAUUUGAAACAAAUACACUCGUAAUUGAAAACAACACUCUCUGAGGGAUCGACUGGGACUUAAAAGGUCCAUUAUACUACUUGAUCGCGACCCGUGCACUUGCGGCUGCCAUUUAAUAUCGAUCAAGUUUUUGGCGCCGUUGCCGGGGAGUGUUUUUAUCAAAUUACCAGCUAAUUUGUCAAUCACUUUAACGAACUUUACUUUUUGUUUUAAAUUCCCCCUUUUAAAUCCAAAAGUUACUUUGUCUUCGUUUUUAUCAAAUUCCUAACUCGUUCAUUGUUUAUGCAUCGUUCGCGAAGUCUCAAUCUUCUAGAAUUUGAUCCUGAAAUCGAAGGGACUUUUCGAAAGAGGCUUAGAGAACAAAACGAGUUGAAAAGACAACAACGAGACAUGGAGCAUCAAGAAGGUCAUCUGGACCCUCUUGUUCGACAUGAACAAGCUCCUCGGGCUGGUGUGCCGCCUGGUUUUGAUAAUCAAGCGGGCAGGGUUCAAAAUCCUGUAGUCAAUGAGGAAGAUAUGUUGUUUAGGGAUUUUCUAAACCGCCCUGUCGUUGAGAACCAAGCGGGUAUCAUAUACCCAUCAUAUGGACAUCCUAACUUUCAACUACGACCUCCAAUUCUUUAUUAUUCUAUGGUAGAAUAGAUGAAAACCCACACGCUCACAUCGCGAGAUUCAUGGAAAUUGUUAGCAAUUUCACAUAUGAAGGUGUGAAUGAUGAGGUUAUAAGAAUGAGGUUAUUCGUGCAUACUCUGAAAGAUAAGGCAAGAGAGUGGAUUGACACUCUACCUUCGAGGAGUAUCACGAGUUGGUAUAAAAAUUCACUACUAAAUUUUUCCCACCUGCUCGUGUGGCCAAGUUAAAGCACAAUAUAACCACUUUCCAACAACUUGACUCUAAAACCUUUCACGAGGCUUGGGAGAGGUUCAAGGACAUGCUAAGAAAGUGCCCAAACAAUGGGAUUACUUUACCACAACAAGUCCAGUACUUCUACGUCGGGUUAACUCCUUCUCACCGCUCAAAUGUUGACUCAUCGUCAAACGGAUCUAUCCAAAACAAAAGUAUCCGAGAGGUGUAUGAGCUAUUUGAGGUGAUGAGUGAACAGAGUGCCAUGUGGCCAGAUAGACGUGCUAAAGUGGGAGUUAGUGGCGCUCGAGAGAGUGAAGCAUACUCUCUUAUGUUAUCAAAGAUUGACUUUCUAGUACGAAAAGUAGAAGGACUUUCUACUUCGUCAUCUGGCUCUCAUUCAGCUCAUAUGGUCCAAUCCCCACUGGUCUAUGAAAUGUGCGGAGCUAAUCAUUUGAGUUCAAGUUGUCCGUUGAUUGCCAGUAGUUCGGGAUCCACCGAGCAAUUGGCAUAUACACAAAAUUCUCAACGCCCUGGGUACAAUCCUUACGCUCAAACUUAUAACCCUGGAUGGCGUAAUCAUCCUAACUUCUCUUAUGGGAAUAACCAGAAUGUGUUAAAUCCUAAACCACAAGAGAAGAAAGAAGGUUGGGAAGAGGCCAUUGCUAAGUUAGCAAAUCAUCAAUUGCAAUACCAAGAACGCAAUGAUGCCUCGUUGAAAAAUUUGGAAAGGCAGGUGGGCCAGAUUGCAAAACUUUUCUCUGAGAGGCCUCAAGGGGCUUUACCUAGUAACACUGAAACAAAUGCCAGAGAGAAUGCAAAGGCCAUUAUUACUAGGAGUGGGAUUCAAUUGCCUGAACCCACGGUAGUACAGCGAAAGGCUCGAGCUGACAAAGAACCAGUCGUUGAAAAUGAGGUGGUGCAAGCACCUAAAGAGGUUGUUGAAGAAGGUAAGACUGAUGAACAGGAGCCAUUAACAUUAAAGACUCCAAUUCCAGUUAAAGCCUAUGUACCUCCUAUUCCUUUUCCUCAAAGGCUCCAGAAGCAUAAACUGGAUAUUCAAUUUGGUAAGUUUUUGGAGGUGUUUAAAAAGCUACACAUUAACAUUCCGUUUGCAGAUGCUCUGGCUCAAAUGCCGAGUUAUGCGAAGUUCAUGAAAGAUAUCCUUUCUAACAAAAGGAAACUUGAAGAGCAUGAAACGGUGAUGUUGACGGAAGAGUGUAGCUUCAUUCUCCAGAACAAAUUGCCUUCUAAAAUCAAAGAUCCAGGGAGCUUUACUAUUCCAUGUGCUAUUGGGGAUCUUAAUUUUACUAAAGCUUUGUGUGAUCUCGGAGCGAGCAUUAACUUAAUGCUCUUGUCUAUUUUUGAAAAGUUGGGAAUGGGAGAAGCAAAGGCUACUACGGUAUCAUUGCAAUUGGCCGAUCGGUCAAUUAAAUAUCCUCGAGGUGUGGUUGAGGAUGUCUUGGUAAGAGUGGAUAAGUUCAUCUUCCGUGCUGAUUUCAUUAUACUUGACAUGGAAGAAGAUAAUGAUAUCCCUAUCAUUCUGGGACAACCAUUUCUUGCCACCGACCGAGCCUUGAUUGACGUGCAGGAGGGUAAACUCAUUUUAAGGGUACAAGAUGAGCAAGUCACUUUUAACAUCUUGAAAUCCAUAAAGUACCCGUCAGAACUAGAUAACUGUUUUCAGGUGGAUAUAAUUGAUCAUUUGGUUGCCGACUCUCUUUAUGGGAGUUCUGACGACACUCUUGAGAGAUGCCUAGUAAGUUCUUCUGAUAUAAGUGAUGGUGACCCCGAUGUUGAAGGUAUGAUAAAGUACUUGGAAGCUACACCUUUUCGCACCUUCAAGAGGGUACCAUAUUAUGAGGAGUUGGAAAAGACAUCUUCAAUACCUCUUCCAUCUUAUCAAAAAGCCCCUACGCUUGAUUUAAAAACACUUCCACCUCAUUUGAGGUACGCCUAUUUAGGAGAAUCAUCCACACUUCCAGUGAUCAUCUCCAAUUCCUUAACCGAUCUAGAAGUAGAGAAGCUACUUCGAGUCUUGCGAGAAUAUAAGGAAGCAAUUGGAUGGACGAUAAAUGAUAUUCGGGAAAUCAGUCCGUCAUUUUGUAUGCACAAAAUACUGAUGGAGAAUGACUUUAAGCCAUCAGUCGAGCAUCAAAGGUGGUUAAAUCCGAAUAUGAAGGAAGUGGUGAGAGCGAAAGUUGUUAAAUUACUUGAUGCAGGCAUUAUCUAUCCCAUUUCUGAUAGUCCAUGGGUAAGUCCUGUUCAAGUUGUACCUAAGAAAGGAGGCAUAACGGUAGUGAAAAAUGAGGACAAUGAUCUCAUACCCACUAGACCGGUGACUGGUUGGCGAGUGUGUAUUGACUACCGCAAGUUAAAUACUGCAACUAGAAAGGAUCACUUCCCUCUUCCUUUCAUAGAUCAAAUGCUAGAGUGGUUGGCAUGGUAUUCACAUUAUUGUUUUCUUGAUGGGUAUUCGGGCUAUAAUCAAAUUCCAAUAGCUCUGGAAGAUCAAGAGAAAACAACAUUUACAUGCCCGUACGGUACUUUUGCGUACAGGAGAAUGCCCUUUGGCCUGUGCAAUGCACCUGCUACGUUCCAAAGGUGUAUGAUGGCGAUUUUCUCCGACAUGGUGGAGAAAAGUAUUGAGAUUUUUAUGGAUGAUUUUUCAGUUUUCGGUGCCUCAUUUAAUAGAUGCCUUAACAAUUCAAAAUUGGUACUUAGACGAUGUAAAGAGACCAAUUUGGUUCUAAAUUGGGAAAAGUGUCAUUUCAUGGUCAAAGAAGGCAUAGUUCUUUGCCAUCGAAUUUCUCUGAAAGGCAUAGAGGUUGAUAAGGCGAAAAUUCAAGUAAUUGAAAAAUUGCCUCAACCAACUACAGUAAAGGGAAUUCGAAGUUUUCUCGGACAUGCUGGCUUUUACAGGAGGUCUAUUAAAGACUUUUCAAAAAUCACAAAACCUCUUUGUUCCUUGCUUGAAAAGAACACAGUCUUUAAUUUCUCCCAAGAAUGCCUUAAUGCUUUCAAUGCACUGAAGGAAAAGCUUAUCACGGCUCCUAUCAUCGCAGCUCCAGAUUGGAAUCUUCCAUUCGAGCUAAUGUGUGAUGCUAGUGAUUAUGUUGUUGGAGCAGUUCUGGGGCAGAGGAGAGAUAAAGUCCUGCAUGUUAUCUAUUACGCCAGUCGAACUUUGACCGAUGCGUAAUUGAAUUAUGCUACUACUGAAAAGGAGAUGCUAGCAGUAGUAUUUGCAUUUGAUAAAUUUUGGUCAUACCUCAUUGGUUCCAAAGUAAUUGUCUACACUGACCACUCGGCCAUCAAAUAAUUGUUUACAAAGAAAGAUGCCAAGCCGAGGUUGAUCAGAUGGGUACUCCUCUUGCAGGAGUUCGACCUCGAGAUUCAAGAUAAAAAGGGAACUGAAAAUGUCGUUGCUGAUCAUUUAUCUCGUCUCGAGCAACCCGAAGACGUUUUGGAAGGUGAAAUCAAUGAGGUGUUUCCUGAUGAACAACUGUUGCAAAUCAUCCAGAUUUUACAAGCCAAUCAUACACUAUGGUAUGCAGACUAUGUGAACAAUCUUGUUAGUGGCAUCAUACCCCCAGAUCUUUCUUAUCAACAAAGGAAGAAUGUGAAGCAUUACUUCUGGGAAGAUCCUUUGUUAUUCAAACAGGGUCCGGAUCAAAUUAUCCGAAGAUGUGUGCCGGAGGAGGAAAUGGAGAAAAUACUUGAACUAUGUCAUUCUUCUCAAUAUGGUGGUCACUUUGGUGCUAUAAAAACUGCAUCAAAGGUCCUUCAAUCUGGUUUUUAUUGGCCCACCUUAUUUAAGGAUGCUUAUACACUUGUCUCUAAGUGUGAUCGAUGCCAACGGACUGGUAAAAUUUCCAAACGUAAUGAAAUGCUGUUGAAUUCCUUAUUGGAGGUGGAGAUAUUUGAUGUUUGGGGUAUUGAUUUUAUGGGGCCAUUUUCGUCCUCAUUUUCAAAUAAAUACAUAUUGGUGGUUGUAGACUAUGUGUCAAAGUGGGUAGAAGCGGUAGCUUUACCUACUAAUGAUGCUCGGGUGGUAGUAAAUUUUUUGAAGAAAAAUAUUUUCUCGCGCUAUGGCACUCCCCGAGCUAUCAUUAGUGAUGGUGGUAAACAUUUCUGUAAUCGCCUCUUCGACUCACUUUUGACCAAAUAUAGAGUGAAUCAUCGAGUGGCCACUCCCUAUCAUCCCCAAACAAGUGGCCAAGUUGAAAUAUCUAAUCGAGAGUUAAAGAGAAUUCUCGAGUUGACGGUCAAUGCAUCAAGAAAAGAUUGGUCCAAGAAGUUGGACGAUGCAUUGUGGGCAUAUCAGACUACUUUUAAAACGCCGAUUGGUAUGUCUCCAUAUCGGCUUCUAUUUGGAAAAGCAUGUCAUUUACCAGUCGAACUCGAACAUCGGGCCUAUUGGGCUAUCAAAGCCUUGAAUUUUGAUGAAAAAUUGGCCGGUGAGAAGAGAUUGCUCCAACUGAAUGAACUUGACGAAAUCCGCCUUGAUGCAUAUGAGAGUGCACGUCUCUAUAAAGAAAAGAUAAAAAGAUGGCAUGAUCAACACAUUGUGAGGCGGGAGUUCUUUGUCGGGCAACAAGUUCUUCUGUACAAUUCUCGACUCCAGUUAUUCCCUGGAAAACUCCGCUCCAGAUGGUCGGGUCCUUUCACUAUCAUAAAAAUUUUUCCACAUGGAGCGGUUGAGCUUCUUGAUGAAGGAAAGGCGACUUUCAAAGUAAAUGGUCACAGAUUGAAACCAUAUUUGGGAGGUGAUUUUCCUAAUGAAAAAUCUUCCAUUCCUUUCAAAGAUCCGAAAUAAAGAUUCCCUAUAGUCGAGCUAAGGACUAUAACCAAGCGCUUGUUGGGAGGUAGCCCAACUGUUUUAACUCUUGUUUUAUUUAUUUACUUUUAAUGCUUUUAGUUAUUAUAUUGUUGAACUAAUAUAUUUAUUUUGUAGGAAAUUUUUGAUAUCCCAGCCAUUUCUGGAUCUCCCAGGUUCUGGAACAAUUCAUGUGCAAAGAAGUCUUUGAUCCAAGUGACUCAUGAUCAUCAUAAGUCCAGGAAAUGCAUUGGUUCCACUUUACGAAUGGCUAUUCAGGGAAGUUUCCUUAUUCCACUUUACUUUAGCUUGUUAUUUACACAUUGAGGACAAUGUGUGAAUUAAGUUUGGGGGUGAUGAGCCUUGCCGGCUAUUGCUUUGCUAGAUGUUAGAGCCUUGCCGGCUUUCUUUUUGUGUUUGUACAUAUUUUUUGUGUGUUAUAUCGACAUGUUAGGUGAGCCUUGCCGGCUUUGAAAUGCGUGAUGUUGAAAUUGUUCUUGAUUCAUAAGCUAUGCAUGCGUGCCAAAUAUGCUAUUAUGUGUAAAAAUUUUCGAUUCGAAAAUUGCUUAUUCUAUGUGAGAUCUUGAGUUACAUUGAACAUAGUCAUGAUUAAUUAUCAUUUAGAUGUGGAAAUAGCUGUUUGUUGGAAAAUUUUUGAAUUGGUAAGAACUUAGGUUGUGAGUUACCUGAAACAGUGUAUCAACUUAUGUCUUAUUCUCUUUCACUUUACCUUGUACUGUGAGAAAUGUUGAAUUAGCUAGUUUUUAUUUUCAUUGAAGAUGUAGUAACUGAAUAGGGUGAACAAAAAAGCUGGUGAGACUUUGAGCCGAUAGACUGACAUUUAUUACAAUCUCGUCAUUUCUUUUUGGUGUGACAUUAUUCCAUGAUUAUGAUUUUCUAGAACUUGCGUUGCUUCUUUUCAAGAUCACAUUGAUACAUGUAUACAUGAAUAUGAUUAAGGCAAUUUUUGUUACCACUUUAGCCAAAUAGUUUACCAUGAAACUACUCUUUCCUUUGAUAACCCCUUUGAGCCUAUUUGCCUUUUCUUUGGUUUACCCACAUUACAAGCUUUCAUUUCCAGAAAACAACACUCCACAUUACCCUCAAAGCUAGUGGAGUGUUGUUGGUUUUAUUAAAUGUUGGGUGUGAAAGAAAAGAAGUUUGGGGGUAUCAAUAUCAUUUGAGGUGCUAUGUUGGUGUAAAAAAAAAAAAUUGUUUGACAAGGGAAAAUAUGUGGAGGAGACUGAUUUUGAGUGACUAAAUUUAUAAGUUCUCCUGAGAGUUGAAAGAAGAAAAAGGGUGAUUGUGCUGAAUUGAUGAUAAGUAAGAAGUUAUUGAUUGGAGGGAUAGGGUUGUGUACAGAUCCUGUCUAUGUUGAGUUGAGUUGAAUAUCUUUUACUCCACUGAUUUAUUUGAGGCUUCGUAGUCACUUAUCCAAAUGUUUCAACACCUUAACCUUAAGCCACAUUUCAACCCUGAAAAGACCUUAUGAUUUAUGUAAUGCAUGUGAUCUAAGUGGUGAUGAUUGAGAAAAUAUGCAAGCUUAUGGUAGAACAUUUUCAUUGGAAUGAUCUGAGCGAAACAGUACCCAAUCUUAUACACUUGAGAGUGAGUGAUUAUACUAUCUUGCGAGGUUCUACAUGUUCAGUUACUUUAUCUUCAUCUGAUAACGCAUGCUAGUUGAGUAUUUUUGAUCGAUAAAGAAAAGAGUGUUUGAGAGCAACCUUUAGAUUUACACUUGGGAAAUGAAGUGGAAUAUCUGUAUUUGAGUGUGAAUCUUACGAGCGGGAAAGAAUAUAUUUGACCAUUGAGGGUCGGGUUGGUGCUAAUUUAGAAAUUUUACUGUCUUGAUGGUCUUUUCUUAGUUUAGAUGAUGAUUGAAAAUGGUUAUGCACACGCACACUGAUUGAACAUGGGAUAAGCUGUAAUUAUUUUUUAUAGCAUUAUUUGGAAGUAUGGCUGUGAAUUGAUAUACAAUUUUGAACUCUAUGAUAUUUAUGGCAAGGUAUCUAAUAUGUUGAUCAUUUUUGCAUUUGCUUGAUUAUGUUAGAAAUCAAUCUUGCUCGAGACGAGCAAGAGCUCAAGUUUGGGGGUGUGACAAGUGUGUUUUUACACACUUAUUUAGCACUUUUUGGGACUUUAUUAUUGAUAAAAUUGAGUAGAUUUCUAUUUAUAAUUGUGUAAUUGUUACUUUUGUAGGCUAAAACCCCGGAAAGAAGUAUAACGAGCGAAAAGAGAAGGAAAGGACUUGAAGUGCAAUUACGAAAGGGCUUAAAUGUAAUAAAAGUCAAAUUUUGAGGACCAAAUUGCACUAAAUGAA
rnacentral:lncRNA from 1 species